rnacentral:rRNA from 1 species
GAUCGCGGCGAUGAGGGCGGUCCGCCGCCCGCGACGUCGCGAGAAGUCCACUGAACCUUAUCAUUUAGAGGAAGGAGAAGUCGUAACAAGAUUUCCGUAGGUGAACCUGUGGAAGGAUCAUUG